rnacentral:tRNA from 1 species
GAGGCUUUAGCUUAAUUAAAGUGUUGGAGUUGCAUUCAGGGGAUGUAUAUUAAAGUUACCAGGCCUUUC